GUGUAUGUAGUAUAACAUAAUACAAUGGCCCUUCACUUCAUAAAUUUGAUUUUUUCUUCAACAUACACA
rnacentral:tRNA from 1 species